rnacentral:rRNA from 1 species
GACGAACGCUGGCGGCGUGCCUAAUACAUGCAAGUCGAACGAGUGGCGGACGGGUGAGUAAUGUCUGGGAAACUGCCUGAUGGAGGGGGAUAACUACUGGAAACGGUAGCUAAUACCGCAUACCAUCAGAUGUGCCCAGAUGGGAGUAGCUAGUUGGUGGGGUAACGGCUCACAAAGGCGACUAUCCCUAGCUGGUCUGAGAGGAUGACCGCCCACACUGGAACUGAGACACGGUCCAGACUCCUACGUGAGGCAGCAUUGGUGAAUAUUGCACAAUGGGCGCAAGCCUGAUGCAGCCAUGCCGCGUGUAUGAAGAAGGCCUUCGGGUUGUAAAGUACUUUCAGCGGGGAGGCGUUACCCGCAGAAGAAGCACCGGCUAACUCCGUGCCAGCAGCCGCGGUAAUAC